rnacentral:antisense_RNA from 1 species
CCUUAUGGCGGCUGUGCGUGUGGGCACCUUUUGGUGCGCCGGGUUCUUAGUCCCUGGUCUGUCAGCCCGCGCACAGUUGCCAUCCUC